AGCAGCAGAAGGCACACAUUAGUACAGCAAAUGGGCCUGCUUGGCAGCCUCCAGGCCCCUGGGGGGGCCCCAGGUCCAAGCAUUGCCUGUGCCACCGUCUGCCACCAGGAUGUCCCACAUCUCGAAGAGCGGGAAGCCCUUCUGGACGUCCCCGCUGACUCGGCUCCCAGGUGUCUCUUCCAGGAUGUGGUAAACAUCUUCCAGUGGCACCUCGAGCCAGCCCUUCCCUGCCUCAGGCCUCAGUUUUCUCAGCUGUCCAAUGGGAUGAGUGACGCUGCAGUGAGAGCCCCCUCUUCUACCCGUGGACCCCUGGAUCCUCCUGGCUGUGACCUGGUCGCCAAACCGUCCUGUCAAGCUCUGUAGCCACUUAACUCUGAGGAAGGCGAUGUGAGCAUGCCCGCCCCUGUCUGGAGCCUUCCUCUAAUUUGGAGCCACUUAGAAAAGACAAGGAAGCCUUUAAAGCGAAGAAGAAUGUCUCCCAGGACGCCUCCUGCCUGUUUCACAGCAGCGGCAGGAGGGCUGGCCAGCGUGCUCGAUCUGCAGAAGCAUGGGAGAGGCGCCCCGUUCAAGGGGCCUGUGGCCACAGCAUCCUGCUAUAAAAAUAGC